UUUAAAAAAUCUCAAAUCCGACCACCCUAACAAAAAGCUUUAACUUUCACUCAAAGCACAUUUUUGUUUACUUAUGUAUUGUUUAUUUGUUGUUAGCUUUUGUGGAACUACACUCGUUUUGAGUUGCUCCAGUUUAAGUGAUCGUUCGAACUAAACUCGUUCAUCGUCACAAGCACUCGGUGAGUUGAAGAGCUAGCAGUGAAGAAAUUUUGAUUGUUGUCACUCGUAAAAUGAAUUCAAUCAAGUUUGUGCGUAAAAAAGAGAAGCUUCGCAGAAUAGAGGAUACUAAAACCGUGAGUUAUGAGAAUUUUUGCUUAACUAUUUAUAAUGAGUUAAUAUUAAUUAUCUUUUUCUACAUAGUAAAAUAUCUCAUUAUUUCACACCAUCAUACAAUGAAGACGAAAACAGAGCAAAUAAUAAAGUAUUAAAUGAGAGGCACGCAAUUUAAAGAGGCGAUUACGUUCAGUAAACCUGGCAAGCGAGCGCAUGACAUAAAUUCGUAUCAACACACAUCUCUCUUGCCAAUACUUUUAAAGCUUAUGGAAAAACUGCUAGCUGUGCGUCUGUGAGCAAACAAUGGCAUCGCGUUAACGUCUGUGAAAUAAUGCCUUCCGACUACCAGGAUAUCAUGAAGCGUUUUAUUACGAUGACGCUUGGAUCUAUGCUUACUGCUUACCACCCGGAAACAGACGAUCAAUCGGCUAAAUAUCGUGGCAAAGGUGGGCCAAAGUCGAAAAAAACACUUCAAAGCAGGUCGAAAAUGAAGGUUAAGUUGACACGUUUCGUCGAUAAUCGAACUGCACUCCGAACUCCUUUCGCCUAGCCAAACUGUCCACAACGAAUAAUAUUUGAGUGUUUUGUGUCGUUAAAAGGUGCCGGAAUUAUCACCACGAUAAUGCACUGUCAUAUUUUGUAUUGAUUUUCGUGAGUAUUUCGCCAAGUUUUCAAUUAGUAUCGUGCCGCCGUAUUCUCCUGAUUUAGCUCCGUGUGACUUUUGGCAAUUGAAGACAUUAUUAUAUUCCGAAAAUUGACUUUAACAACUGUUUCAAAGAUUGGAAAAAACGUUGGCACAAGUGCAAUGCGGUCAAGGGGGACUACUUUGAUGGGAAUGAC